rnacentral:rRNA from 1 species
UACGUAGGGGGGCAAGCGUUUGUCCGGAAUUAUUGGGCGUAAAGAGCGUGUAGGCGGCCAGAUAAGUCCGCUGUGAAAUCUCGAGGCUCAACUUCGAGCUGUCGGUGGAAACUGUCUGGCUAGAGUCCGGAAGAGGAGAAUGGAAUUCCUGGUGUAGCGGUGAAAUGCGCAGAUAUCAGGAAGAACACCUAUGGCGAAGGCAGCACUCUGGGACGGUACUGACGCUGAGACGCGAAAGCGUGGGGAGCGAACAGG